rnacentral:rRNA from 1 species
CAAUAGCGUAUAUUAAAGUUGUUGCGGUUAAAAAGCUCGUAGUUGGAUUUCUGCUGAGAACGACCGGUCCGCCCUCUGGGUGUGUAUCUGGCUCUUUCUUGGCAUCUUCUUGGUGAACGUUGCUGCACUUGACUGUGUGGAGCGCUACCCAGGACUUUUACUUUGAGGAAAUUAGAGUGUUUCAAGCAGGCAUACGCCUUGAAUACAUUAGCAUGGAAUAAUAAGAUAGGACCUCGGUUCUAUUUUGUUGGUUUCUAGAGCUGAGGUAAUGAUUAAUAGGGAUAGUUGGGGGCAUUCGUAUUUAACUGUCAGAGGUGAAAUUCUUGGAUUUGUUAAAGACGGACUACAGCGAAAGCAUUUGCCAAGGAUGUUUUCAUUGA